UACGGGGGGGGCAAGCGUUGUUCGGAAUUACUGGGCGUAAAGGGCUCGUAGGCGGCCAACUAAGUCAGACGUGAAAUCCCCAGGCUCAACCUGGGAACUGCGUCUGAUACUGGAUGGCUUGAGUUCGGGAGAGGGAUGCGGAAUUCCAGGUGUAGCGGUGAAAUGCGUAGAUAUCUGGAGGAACACCGGUGGCGAAGGCGGCAUCCUGGACCGACACUGACGCUGAGGAGCGAAAGCCAGGGGAGCAAACGGG
rnacentral:rRNA from 1 species